rnacentral:rRNA from 1 species
GACGUAGGGUGCAAGCGUUGUCCGGAUUUACUGGGCGUAAAGAGCGCGUAGGCGGUCUGUUAAGUGUGGUGUGAAAUCUCCAGGGCUCAACCCGGAAACUGCACCGCAUACUGGCAGACUGGAGGAAUGCAGAGGUGAGUGGAAUUCCUGGUGUACCGGUGAAAUGGGUAGAUAUCAGGAGGAACACCGGUGGUGAAGACGGCUCUCUGGACCGUUACUGACGCUGAGACUCGAAAGCGUGGGGAGCAAACAGG